rnacentral:lncRNA from 1 species
GGGAUGAUCAAAAAUAAAUGAAUCUGCUGGAAGAUAGGUUUAAACCUCUGCAAGGUUCUGUCCCAUCCUACAGUUCUGGGAAAUUUUUAGUUGAAUUUUCUAGGAUUUUCUUCCUUAACAAAGAAGAAAAAUAAACUCACAGUCUUCUCUUCCCCUCUUCCUCCUUGCCUGUCAGAAAAAUUUGAGAUAAGGGUUAUAUUGAUUAACUUAAGUUUUUCUAGAAAACUCCACAGAACACUCUUGCCAGGUGUAACUAUAUGGGGCAUUUUAAUUGUCAUUAUUUGAAGGAAAAGGGUCUCCUCUCCCAAGUUAGAUACUGACUUCAGAAACUUUUAUUUUUUUAUUUUUUUCAGAAACUUUUAAAUAUAGAAAUAGAUGAAAUGGUCAGAGGAUUUUUAGUCUUUUUUUUUUUGGAUUUUUAAUCUUUAACUGAAUGUAUUUUGAUUUGGCAUAAUUAUAAGUUAUUUGAAUGAGAUCUGAAGUUUUAUGCUCCUAUACUCUCCUGUCUCCAGUAUAAUUUCUCCUUUAAUCUGGAACCAUAUUUGUUUCAUAUAAAGAUUGUGUAGCAUAUCCUCAGUUGUCUUGGGAAAAUGCCUCAAUGUAGUGCCAUUAUGCCUACCCUAAAAACCUUGAUAAUGAAAUAUUUGGAAACUGAUGACCUGUCAUUGACUAGGCUAGGACAUUGCAGUUCAGUCAGGGUUGAUGAUCUAAAGACCCGUAAUGGCUUAACUUUCUGACCUAUCCAGUUUCUAAUAGGCAGUCUGUCACGAGACAGGUUAAAAAUGGUGAGUUUGAGCAGGAAUUGUGGUUAGAAUUAGACAGGAAGGAGGGUCAGAUGUUUCCAACCUUGACUUGGAAGCGUGUCUCAAGAAUUAUUACAAAAUCUGAGCCUUCAAAUGCAUUUUAAGUCAUUUUAACAUAAAGGAUAGCUAAACAUCUUAAAUGACCCCAAACCAAACUAACAGUGAUGGUCUGUCAGGCUCCCAUAACCCAAUUAUAAGCCACAUUUAUAAGGACAAAGAGGUUUGGUAACCCUUAAUAUACAGCUAUCCCUGCUGUGAGGCCAUGUGUAUCCAUUCACUUUGGGGGAGAAAAAACACUGUUUUUUUCUGUAUUGUAAAAAUCUAAGUCAUGGUAAACUGAGAAUUUUUGUUUUAAAAUUUAUAUUAUACCUCUGAAAUGGUAAAAUUAUAGUUCAGACUGCAGAGCUAGGUUGCCCUAAAGACAAACAAGUAAAUUCCCUCAUGUGUUGAGAACUAAAAUGUUUUUCAUUUUAAUUCCAAUUUUUAAAACUCUCAGUGCUUCGUUUAAUUAAUUGCAUGCCAUAACUUGUCAUGACAGCUGCUCCAACUGAAUCACUAUCAUUUGGCUGAAUGGAGGUGAAGUAUUUCAUCAAAAUACAUUGAAAUAAGAUCAAUCACAUUUAGGCUUUGUCUCUUCAUUACUGGAGGCAGUGCAACGUAGAGAUCGGCACCUCCCUGUGUAGCUCUGCAAGUUACUUAGUGGCUGUAUGCCUCAGUUUCUUCACCCACCAAAUCUGGAUGAUAUACUUGCCUGGCCUACCUCACAAGGUUGUUGGAAAGAUCAAAUUAAAUAAUAGAUGUGAAAAUGCUGUGAAAAUAUGUUAAAGUGCCAUACAUAUUUAAGGAGUUGAUACAGUUAUUCAAGUCCAUAAACAGGUUAUUAUUAUGCUUUUACUGUUAGAAAAGAAACUAGCAGUAUCAUCCACAUGAGUGUCUUGAAUGAAUACGUUGGCCUUUGACCUCAUGGAAGGGCAAGUGUAAAUGGUCUUUAUUCUUGGAGAGAUUGCAGCAGUUGCCCUCUCUCUUGCUGUGGGUUGCUUACAAAAAUUAGCACCCAAAUACAUGAUACUUGGAGGAAGACAACCCACUGAAAUCUGAGAAACUGCCUCCAAUGAUCAUGAGCUGAUCAUUUGUGCAUCUUUCAUCUUUCAUGAAGGACAUAGUAGCUAGUGUCUUUUGACAGUUGUGCUUUACAAGCUGAAUGCCUGGUCUUGUUAGACUUUAAUUGAAUGCGAGUCUAAUCUUUUCAGCCUUGUAAAUGGGAAAAUAAACAUUAAAAAUGUCAAAUACAGCAUUUCCUUGGAAACCACCUUAGAACAUUAGUGCUGUGGUUAUGAGUGUUAUGUGUUAGUACUUCUCAGUCAAUAAACUGUGGAUGUGAGCUUUUGCAGGCUGCUUCUGUGCAGCCAGUGACUAUAACAAAUAUUGUUUAUGUUUCUUCAUAUAAUAAAUUAAUUUUUCAAUU